GGCUGAAUGGUCUAGUAGCAUGAUUCCUGCUUCGGGGCGGUCGAGGUCCCGUGUCCCAUGAGACAUUGAUUAUGCAGGAGGUCCCGGGUUCAAUUCCCGGUUCAGCCC